UUUCUUUUUGGUUUACUACAGGGACUUGCAUUAUUAAACAUUGUAUUAUGCAAGCUUUUGGACAAAAGUUUGAAGGAUUUUCAUAGGAAGAUAAACUUUGCAUUCCGGCUCGUUGAACUUUACCAGCCCUACCUCUUUUUCAAUGGAGUGUAAGUAACUUAAUUAUCAGUUUCUCACUAUGUUAUUUGUUCUCUAAUCUAAUGUGGUUUGAGAUCUAAAACAAAUGUUGUGCAGAUUUGAUGAUACAAACACGGAAAAGCUGCAAGGAAUUGUGUUGAAGACAGAAGCCGAAACCGAGAUGUUCUGUUUUGAUCCAACAGUUAUCAAUUGGGACGACUAUUUUGUGGAUAUACAUGUUCCUGGACUGGUUAAGUACGUUUUCUAAUGAUCUCAUUUGUGUAACCUUUGUUUUAUCAUGUUCCAACGAGUAUAAACUGUGUGGAAAAUAUAGUACUCGUUGAUCUGUUUUUAUUCGGCUACGUUUUCAAACUUGGGAUGUUGCUAUUUAAAUGUUUACUUUCAGCAUUUGCAUAUCUAUAAUGGAACUAUAAUUUUUCAAUAAAAUUUUAUAUGACGUCUUAUGUUCUCUAUAUGAGUUAAUAGUAUCCAUUAUCCAAUAUUGAAAAUAACAGUCCUUCCAUUUUAUAAUAAUAAUAAUAAUCUGAAAGGCGAAUAACCUCUUUGACAUGAUGUUCUUCGCAACUUCAUCAUUGACAAAACACCUACCAGAAACUAAAUGGUAUGAACAUAGUGUUUGCACAUGGUAGUACUAGUAUCGAACCCUAACCUAUCACCAGUACAUGUUUUUUAUUUUCAGGGCAUCUCCAAUUUCACUAUAUUUUCUACUCUAAAAUAGAGUCCAAAAUAAAAAUAUUCUAAUGGUACUCUAUUUUUCACUAUAUAAUAGAGUAAAAAAUGGGUAAAUGACGUCAACAUAUUUCCACACCACAAAUAUCAUAUAGUAACAAUUCCACGCAAUCUUUCAUCCAUUAUGCAAGCUUUUGGACAAAAGUUUGAAGGAUUUUCAUAGGAAGAUAAACUUUGCAUUCCGGCUCGUUGAACUUUACCAGCCCUACCUCUUUUUCAAUGGAGUGUAAGUAACUUAAUUAUCAGUUUCUCACUAUGUUAUUUGUUCUCUAAUCUAAUGUGGUUUGAGAUCUAAAACAAAUGUUGUGCAGAUUUGAUGAUACAAACACGGAAAAGCUGCAA
rnacentral:lncRNA from 1 species